GGGGGCUCUGUUGGUUCUCCCGCAACGCUACUCUGUUUACCAGGUCAGGUCCGGAAGGAAGCAGCCAAGGCAGAUGACGCGUGUGCCGGGAUGUAGCUGGCAGGGCCCCCACC
rnacentral:rRNA from 1 species